UGGAUUGCCAUAAGUCAAACUUGUCCAACUUUGACCAAGUUUAUAAAAAAAUAUAACAACUAUAGUAUCAAAUAUAUAUAUAUUAUCGAAAUAUAUUUUAUGAUGAAUUUAAUAAAACAAACUUGGUAUUGUAGAUGUUGUCAAAUUUUUCUAUAAACUUGGUCAAACGUAGACAAGUUUAACUUAGAACAAAUAAA
rnacentral:pre_miRNA from 1 species